rnacentral:piRNA from 1 species
UAAGAUACAUGUUAGGUGACCAAGUGGGU